rnacentral:rRNA from 1 species
GAUGAACGCUGGCGGCGUGCCUAAUACAUGCAAGUCGAGCGAACAGAUAAGGAGCUUGCUCCUUUGACGUUAGCGGCGGACGGGUGAGUUACACGUGGAUAACCUACCUAUAAGACUGGGAUAACUUCGGGAAACCGGAGCUAAUACCGGAUAACAUAUUGAACCGCAUGGUUCAAUAGUGAAAGGCGGCUUUGCUGUCACUUAUAGAUGGAUCCGCGCCGUAUUAGCUAGUUGGUAAGGUAACGGCUUAUCAAGGCAACGAUACGUAGCCGACCUGAGAGGGUGAUCGGCCACACUGGAACUGAGACACGGUCCAGACUCCUACGGGAGGCAGCAGUAGGGAAUCUUCCGCAAAGGGCGAAAGCCUGACGGAGCAACGCCGCGUGAGUGAUGAAGGUCUUCGGAUCGUAAAACUCUGUUAUCAGGGAAGAACAAAUGUGUAAGUAACUGUGCACAUCUUGACGGUACCUGAUCAGAAAGCCACGGCUAACUACGUG